rnacentral:lncRNA from 1 species
GUUCGCUUUUAUACAGGAAGGUUCAAAUUGUUUAUGUGUUUGUUCUUGUAGUUUCUAAAAGGGAUUAGUCUAAGAUGCAUGAUUAUUUUUUUUAGUUGUAAGUGACUUUGAACUAGCUGUCAGUAACUGCGAGAACUCUCAGAUCUGUACUUAGUGUAUUUUUGUUGUUGGGAUAUACAAGUACCCGGCCACGUCAACUCUGUGUUUUUGUUAUAUGUAUUUCUAUUUGUAUUCAUCUGAAAAGUUAAG